rnacentral:rRNA from 1 species
UUCGGGGUACUCGAGCGGCGAACGGGUGAGUAACACGUGAGCAACCUGCCCUAGGCUUUGGGAUAACCCUCGGAAACGGGGGCUAAUACCGAAUAGGACCACCGGUCGCAUGGUUGGUGGUGGAAAGUUUUUCGGCCUGGGAUGGGCUCGCGGCCUAUCAGCUUGUUGGUGGGGUGAUGGCCUACCAAGGCGACGACGGGUAGCCGGCCUGAGAGGGCGACCGGCCACACUGGGACUGAGACACGGCCCAGACUCCUACGGGAGGCAGCAGUGGGGAAUAUUGCACAAUGGGCGGAAGCCUGAUGCAGCGACGCCGCGUGAGGGAUGACGGCCUUCGGGUUGUAAACCUCUUUCAGCAGGGACGAAGCGUAAGUGACGGUACCUGCAGAAGAAGCACCGGCCAACUACGUGCCAGCAGCCGCGGUAAGACGUAGGGUGCGAGCGUUGUCCGGAUUUAUUGGGCGUAAAGAGCUCGUAGGCGGCUUGUCGCGUCGACCGUGAAAACUUGGGGCUCAACUCCAAGCCUGCGGUCGAUACGGGCAGGCUAGAGUUCGGUAGGGGAGACUGGAAUUCCUGGUGUAGCGGUGAAAUGCGCAGAUAUCAGGAGGAACACCGGUGGCGAAGGCGGGUCUCUGGGCCGAUACUGACGCUGAGGAGCGAAAGCGUGGGGAGCGAACAGGAUUAGAUACCCUGGUAGUCCACGCUGUAAACGUUGGGCGCUAGGUGUGGGGGGCCUCUCCGGUUCCCUGUGCCGCAGCUAACGCAUUA